CUACGGGUGGCUGCAGUGGGGAAUAUUGCAUAAUGGGCGCAAGCCUGAUGCAGCAACGCCGCGUGAGGGAUGACGGCCUUCGGGUUGUAAACCUCUUUUAGCAGGGAAGAAGCGAAAGUGACGGUACCUGCAGAAAAAGCACCGGCUAACUACGUGCCAGCAGCCGCGGUAAUACGUAGGGUGCAAGCGUUGUCCGGAAGUAUUGGGCGUAAAGAGCUCGUAGGCGGUUUGUCACGUCUGCUGUGAAAAUCCAAGGCUCAACCUUGGACUUGCAGUGGGUACGGGCAGGCUAGAGUGCGGUAGGGGAGAUGGGAAUUCCUGGUGUAGCGGUGGAAUGCGCAGAUAUCAGGAGGAACACCAAUGGCGAAGGCACAUCUCUGGGCCGUAACUGACGCUGAGGAGCGAAAGCGUGGGGAGCGAACAGGAUUAGAUACCCCUGUAGUC
rnacentral:rRNA from 1 species